rnacentral:rRNA from 1 species
GUUGACCUCGGAUCAGGUAGGAAUACCCGCUGAACUUAAGCAUAUCAAAUUAGGCGGAGGAA